GACGAACGCUGGCGGCGUGCCUAAUACAUGCAAGUCGAACGCAUUUUCUUUCACCGUAGCUUGCUACACCGAAAGAAAAUGAGUGGCGAACGGGUGAGUAACACGUGGGUAACCUGCCCAUCAGCGGGGGAUAACACUUGGAAACAGGUGCUAAUACCGCAUAAUUCCAUUUCCCGCAUGGUAAAUGGAUGAAAGGCGCUUUUGCGUCACUGAUGGAUGGACCCGCGGUGCAUUAGCUAGUUGGUGGGGUAACGGCCUACCAAGGCUGCGAUGCAUAGCCGACCUGAGAGGGUGAUCGGCCACACUGGGACUGAGACACGGCCCAGACUCCUACGGGAGGCAGCAGUAGGGAAUCUUCGGCAAUGGACGCAAGUCUGACCGAGCAACGCCGCGUGAGUGAAGAAGGGUUUCGGAUCGUAAAACUCUGUUGUUAGAGAAGAACAAGGAUGAGAGUGGAAAGUUCAUCCCUUGACGGUAUCUAACCAGAAAGCCACGGCUAACUACGUG
rnacentral:rRNA from 1 species